rnacentral:rRNA from 1 species
CUUAGAGUUGGAUCCUGGCUCAGGAUGAACGCUAGCGAUAGGCCUAACACAUGCAAGUCGAGGGGCAGCAUAGGGUAGCAAUACUUUGAUGGCGACCGGCGCACGGGUGAGUAACGCGUAUGCAACCUACCUAUAACAGGGGCAUAACCCGGAGAAAUUCGGACUAAUACCGCAUAAAACAGGGGCUCCGCAUGGAGAUAUUUGUUAAAGAUUUAUCGGUUAUAGAUGGGCAUGCGUUCCAUUAGCCAGUUGGUGAGGUAACGGCUCACCAAAGCAACGAUGGAUAGGGGAACUGAGAGGUUUGUCCCCCACACUGGAACUGAGACACGGACCAGACUCCUACGGGAGGCAGCAGUGAGGAAUAUUGGUCAAUGGGCGAGAGCCUGAACCAGCCAAAUCGCGUGAAGGAAGACUGCCUUAUGGGUUGUAAACUUCUUUUAUACAGGAAUAAAAAGAGUUACGUGUAACUUAUUGCAUGUACUGUAUGAAUAAGCAUCGGCUAACUCCGUGCCAGCAGCCGCGGUAAUACGGAGGAUGCGAGCGUUAUCCGGAUUUAUUGGGUUUAAAGGGUGCGCAGGCGGGAACUUAAGUCAGCGGUGAAAUCUCGACGCUUAACGUCGAAACUGCCGUUGAAACUGGGUUUCUUGAGUAUAGAUGAAGUAGGCGGAAUUCGUUGUGUAGCGGUGACAUGCUUAGAUAUAACGAGGAACUCCGAUUGCGUAGGCAGCUUACUAAGCUAUAACUGACGCUCAAGCACGAAAGCGUGGGGAUCAAACAGGAUUAGAUACCCUGGUAGUCCACGCCGUAAACGAUGAUUACUAGUUGUAUGCGAUAUACGGUAUGUGACUAAGCGAAAGCGAUAAGUAAUCCACCUGGGGAGUACGCCGGCAACGGUGAAACU